CCAAACACGUUUACACGUUGAGAUAAACGUUUAGUUUAGGUGCAUGUAAGGAACAUACGAUGAAUUAUGAUGAAAAGACUCUUUUAAUGUCAAUAGCUAUCGUUUUCACUACAUUUAUUUUGCUGAUGUCUUCAGAUCUUCUGGAAAUGGCCAGUUCGGAUUUUCCCGCCUCUCACUCUUCCCUCUCCAGUCCAGCGGGUGGCGCUAAACCACGUGCUUUACUUAGUGUCAAACACCAUUAAACCUCAGAGGAAGAAGUUCAGUUUCACCAUGGCAGGAAUAUCUGGAGGAGUAUCAUCUGAACUGAGAUCUGCUGCUGUGAAGAUGGUGUUUGUUAAAGAGGAGAGUGAGGAGAACAUGAUUGAACCAGAAAUCUGGAAAGUAAAACACGAGGAACCAGAAACAUGGAGAAUAAAACAUGAGGAACCAGAAACAUGGAGAAUAAAACACGAGGAACAAGAAACAUGGAGAAUAAAACACGAGGAACCAGAAACAUGGAGAAUAAAACAUGAGGAACCA